rnacentral:tRNA from 4 species
GCCGGUUUAGCUCAGUCGGUAGAGCAACUGAUUUGUAAUCAGUAGGUCGCGGGUUCGAUUCCUGCAACCGGCACCA